rnacentral:rRNA from 1 species
UACGGGGGGGGCAAGCGUUGUUCGGAAUUACUGGGCGUAAAGGGCUCGUAGGCGGCCAACUAAGUCGGACGUGAAAUCCCUCGGCUUAACCGGGGAACUGCGUCCGAUACUGGAUGGCUUGAGUUCGGGAGAGGGAUGCGGAAUUCCAGGUGUAGCGGUGAAAUGCGUAGAUAUCAUUUGGAACGCCAAUGGUGAAAACAGGUAACUGGGAGUGUGCUGACGCUGAGACACGAAAGCCAGGGGAGCGAACGGG